CAAAUUUGUGCCUAAUUCAUGUUGCAAAGCUGUUGAGACCUCCCUUAGAAGCUUGAAUUUACAAGGUAGAUAGAGAAAUGCUGCCACUGUGGAAAACUGACUGUGAGCUAAGGAGUCAGUACAUGGAUCUUCAAGCUACAACUAAUUGCAUAGUUUCCAGGUUGUCUUCAAGGCAUACACCAUCAACUCUCAGAAGAGCUAUGGAAUGGUGCAAAAGUAGUCAUUAAAAGUCUCCCACCACCACCACCAACAAAAAGCCCAGG